AACUCUCAACUCCUUACGGUUUUUUCGGAAAUUGUUUGUUGAUGUUGGAUGUGAAUGUUGCUGGCUUUCGAGUCGGCUCGUUCGAAAUGAAUUAGCUGGAUCCCUCUUUAACUUGGUUCCACUCGGCGUGAUAAGUAUCUUCGUCGAGGACAGUCUGACUUCGGUUGGCUGGCCAGGAUAGAUUGGUUGAACUGCUUCUAAUCCUUUUCUUAACUUUCUGUAAUGGACUGUUAGAAAAACUUUUUAUG
rnacentral:misc_RNA from 1 species